rnacentral:rRNA from 1 species
UACAGAGGGUGCGAGCGUUAAUCGGAAUUACUGGGCGUAAAGCGUGCGUAGACGGUUUUGUAAGUCUGUCGUGAAAUCCCCGGGCUCAACCUGGGAAUUGCGAUGGAGACUGCAAGGCUAGAAUCUGGCAGAGGGGGGUAGAAUUCCACGUGUAGCAGUGAAAUGCGUAGAGAUGUGGAGGAACACCGAUGGCGAAGGCAGCCCCCUGGGUCAAGAUUGACGCUCAUGCACGAAAGCGUGGGGAGCAAACAGG